rnacentral:rRNA from 1 species
AACGUACGCUGGCGGCACGCCUAACACAUGCAAGUCGAACGAAGUAGCAAUACUUAGUGGCAGACGGGUGAGUAACAUGUAGGUAUCUGCCCUUUGGCCUGGAAUAACACGAGGAAACUUGUGCUAAUACCGGAUAAGUCUUUACGGAGAAAGCUUUAUGCACCAUUGGAUGAGCCUGCACUUGAUUAGUUUGUUGGUGGGGUAAUGGCCUACCAAGACUGUGAUCAAUAGCUGAUUUGAGAGGAUGAUCAGCCACAUUGGGACUGAGACACGGCCCAAACUCCUACGGGAGGCAGCAGUGGGGAAUCUUGCACAAUGGAGGAAACUCUGAUGCAGCGAUGCCGCGUGAGUGAAGAAGGCCCUUGGGUUGUAAAGCUCUUUCGUCGGGGAAGAAAAUGACUGUACCCGAAUAAGAAGGUCCGGCUAACUUCGUGCCAGCAGCCGCGGUAAUACGAAGGGACCUAGCGUAGUUCGGAAUUACUGGGCUUAAAGAGUUCGUAGGUGGUUGAAAAAGUUAGUGGUGAAAUCCCAGAGCUUAACUCUGGAACUGCCAUUAAAACUUUUCAGCUAGAGUAUGAUAGAGGAAAGCAGAAUUUCUAGUGUAGAGGUGAAAUUCGUAGAUAUUAGAAAGAAUACCAAUUGCGAAGGCAGCUUUCUGGAUCAUUACUGACACUGAGGAACGAAAGCAUGGGUAGCGAAGAGGAUUAGAUACCCUCGUAGUCCAUGCCGUAAACGAUGUGUGUUAGACGUUGGAAAUUUAUUUUCAGUGUCGCAGGGAAACCGAUAAACACACCGCCUGGGGAGUACGACCGCAAGGUUAAAACUCAAAUGAAUUGACGGGGACCCGCACAAGUAGUGGAGCAUGUGGUUUAAUUCGAAGAUACGCGCAGAACCUUACCAACACUUGACAUGUUCGUCGCGACUUUAAGAGAUUAAAGUUUUCGGUUCGGCCGGACGAAACACAGGUGCUGCAUGGCUGUCGUCAGCUCGUGUCGUGAGAUGUUGGGUUAAGUCCCGCAACGAGCGCAACCCUCACUUUUAGUUGCCAUCAUCUAGUUGGGCACUCUGAAAGAACUGCCAGUGAUAAGCUGGAGGAAGGUGGGGAUGACGUCAAGUCCUCAUGGCCCUUACGUGUUGGGCUACACACGUGCUACAAUGGUAUCUACAACAGGAAGCAAGACUGCGAAGUUCUGAAGGACCCUAAAAGAUACCUCAGUUCGGAUUGCACUCUGCAACUCGAGUGCAUGAAGCUGGAAUUACUAGUAAUCGUGGAUCAGCGUGCCACGGUGAAUGCGUUCCCGGGUCU